ensembl:lncRNA
GCAGCUAUUUGUAUUACAUAGUAGUCAUUUCAUAUUUUUUACUUGGGAUGCGUGUCUGGUCUUUUAUUUUAGGAUGGUGAAAACAAACCCUGCCUGCUGCUCUCCUUUACCUUGCCUAAAUCUGAGGGUCCUGAUUGUAACAGAGUGAACAGCAGGCUCCAGAGAUGGCAUCAGUGAAGCAGGAAGACUGCAGUCAAACACUGGGGCUGAAUGUCAACAUUAAAGAUGAAGUAAAGGAGGAAGAGAUUGAAACAUUUGUCUAUCAUGGGCCGGCUGGAGAGUUCAAAGAAAACAGGGAAGAACACCAAGUCUUACUACUCAAAGACAAAGGAAAAAGAAAACCGAAAGGAAUGGAGAAGGAAACUGAAAAAAAGAGGCACCGAUUCACCCCUGGAGAUGAGGAUCUUAUUAUUUCAGGGGUACUUGGGCACUGGGAGGACCUCUUCGGCGCCCAGGCCCACAUUCGCCCCCGGGGGUCAAAGACUGCAACCUGGAACACCAUCGCUGGGACCUUGACCUCGGCUGUGGCGAGAUGUGGUGACGAUGUCCGGAAGAAAUACAAUCUCAUAAGGAGCCAAAUCAAGCAAAAGGUUUCUUCUAUCCGGACAUGGUCCACCCAGACUGGUGGGGGGCCCAACACCGUGCCGGCGCUGACCGACCUGGAGCAGCAACUUUUCUCCCGAAUGGCAGAGACCGAAGCUGGUGUAGGGCCUGUUGAUUUGGGAUUUGGUCUCUCUCAGGGAGAAAUCUCCAGCUCUGGUCCCCCACCAGCAGCAGAGGGAACUGUGGAGGCAGCUUUACCCUCUGUCACCAUGGAGGAGCUACCCUCCACCUCACCAUCAACACCUUGGCCAGCACCAACAGUGCCACCCCAACCCAUCACCUCCCGUCCUGCACCAGCUCACUCAAUCCACUCUCAAUCAAUGAAUCAAAUUUAUUUUAUAAAGCCCUUUUUACAUCAGCAGUUGUCACAAAGUGCUUUACAGAUACCCAGCCUGAAACCCCAAAUAGCAAGCAAUGCAGAUGCACUCUCUGGCACCGCACCCCAACCCAUCACCUCCUGUCCUGCACCAGCUCAUUCCAUCCACUCUGGCUUUGCUCCCCAACCCAUCACCUCCUGUCCUGCACCAGCUCAUUCCAUCCACUCUGGCUUUGCUCCCCAACCCAUCACCUCCUGUCCUGCACCAGCUCAGCAUUCCAUCCACUCUGGCUUUGCUCCCAACCCAUCACGCCUGUCGUGCACCAGCUCAUUCCAUCCACUCUGGCUUUUGCUCCCCAACUCAAUACCUCCUGUCCUGCACCAGCUCCACUGCAUCCACUCUGACUCUACCAAACCCCAACACAUCACGUCUGGCGGACCCACAAGGCCCCCCAAGCCAAUCUGGCUCCAACAAUCCUGAGACACAAACGCAACAAAUCCAGGUUACACAGACCGCCCAGCACAUCCACCAAGCUCUUAUGAUUUUUAGAAAAAGCACAUGAACACAGAAGGCACACCUGGAUGUGGAGAAGAACCGGCUCCAGCUGGAUAGAGAGCGCUUGAAGGUGGAGACAGAGCGCCUGCAGGUGAGAGGGAGCGCCUCAAAUGGAGAAGGAUCGCCUGGGGGAAGGGAGGGCCUUCGGCGGCAGCUCGCUGCUCGGGGUCAGUCGCCCUAGAACACCAGACGCCUGUGAGUUCAAGACUGUCAGUGCUCCCCCACCCUUCCCUGGGAACACACCAUCAGCCUCCAUGUCCAGUCCCCUCACUUAAUAUCACCUACUGCACCACACUUUGAUUUCUUAUUUUCCCAUCCCAUUACCGAAUCACAACCCAUUCCCCCAGCCAUCACAAACCAGCCCUGCCUCAACCUCCCCUGACUUAACCAGCCCUGCCCCAACCUCCCCUACCUUAAAAAUUCCU